CCAACCCUGCGCCCCCUCCCCCGUCUAGUGACACCUCAGGGCCCCUCCGAUGGUUACCUAGGACCGUCGGGUGGCGCCGAGCAGACCCGCUUUUCAGGCCCCGGGCAGGGCCAGCCCCAGACCGCCCCGCAGGUCCGCUCUCCUCGCGACAGACCUCAGAACGCCGGGCUCCUUGCGGACACUGCCCACAUCUCCUCCCUCUACACCUCCUCGGUGACUUCAUCCAGUCCAAGAGCUCAAACAGACCUGUGUGCUGAAUGAGCUCCACUCUCCGACAUCCAGCAGCCCGUUUGAUUAUGCCACCUUGAUGUCCUUUAGGCAGCUCAAAUUUAAGGUGCAGACAGGCGUAUGCAUGUGUCAGAACUCGGCGAAUGCACGCUGAAGAUUUGCGCAUUUCGCCUUGUAUGCAAAUUUUACAUCACAAGGAAAAAGCUGGAAACAAAUGACGCGUGCUGAGUACGCGGGCCUCUCACUGUUGUGGCCUCUCCCGUUGCGGAGCACAGGCUCCGGACGCGCAGGCCCAGCAGUCAUGGCUCACGGGCCCAGCUGCUCCGCGGCAUGUGGGAUCUUCCCGGACCGGGGCACGAACCCGUGUCCCCUGCAUCGGCAGGCGGACUCUCAACCACUGCGCCACCAGGGAAGCCCUCCACGGCAGUUAUUGAAUCAGGAUCUGCAUGCGAACAAGGGCUCCAGGUGACUUGAAUGCACAGUGACGUUUGAGAAGCCCCGCUCUACUCUGCUGGAAGACAGAGGCUUUGCAGCAGGAGUGCUCUCUGGAGGGCCGUGCUCUUCUUACCUGCUCACCCUUAUAAAGCAAACAGCAGUGUUAGGAGCUGCCCUGUGGAGAGACUCAUGUGGUAACUUCUUGGCCGAAGAACAACAGGCAACAAGGAAUGGCAUCCUGCCAACAGUGCGUGAGGUCAGAACGGAUCUUUCCCGGAGUUGAGCCCUGAGCUAACUUCAGCCACACCCAGCACCUUGAUUGCAGCCCGUGGAGAUCCCGAAGCACAGAACCCCGCUAAGCUGCGUGCAGAUUUCUGGCCCGAGGAAAUGCGAGAUAAUAAAAGCUGAUGUCUUAAGCCAGUUAUUACAGAAUGUUGAGCAGAGUACCCUGUGUGAUACGAAGCAAUAGAGAACAAAUACAGACACCAAAACGCCACUGCGGUCAGAUGAGGAAAAGGAAAGCAACGUUCACAGCUCGUUUGAGUUUAUGUUCUGGUGAAUGGAGACACUUCGGUAGGCAUCAGAGAGGCUGAAUUCCACUCUCAGACGCUGACUGUACCCAAUGCAUCUUUGCUUGCGUGACCUGCAAGAACAACCUGAAGGACAAGAAAUCUUGAAAAUCACCUUCAAGGAGAGCAAGAAUGGAUGCUUUCCCUGAAAGAAGAGGAAUAAAAUCUCUGAAGAAUGUCCUCUCAGGAAGGUGGUCAAGCUGUGAGUAAUCACCAUUUUGACUUAAAGUCACUGGAGAGUUUUGAGCAAAAGAGUGCCUGAUGCGGUUAGUUUCAGAAACGUCGUCGCUCUUGCUGCUCUGUGGAGAACAGAUGCGGGGGACACCAACCCUAGUUUAGAGGGUUUAUCAGCACCCUCCUCCUGUACUGCUUGGAACGAGAUGCUUCAUCUUUGUCCCCGUAGCCCAGCGAGAAUGUCGGAGUGUCACUAAGCCACUCUGCGUCUCAGCUACCCCUUCCAGAAGCAGCUCUGAAUGCUACCCACUCUCUGGAUUCCCUGUGUCGUCCUGGAUCUGAGCUCUGUGAUACUCCAUUGCUUGCUAGCUCAUAUAUAUAUAUACAUAUAUAUAUAAAGUGUGUACAUAUGUGUGUAUAUAUAUAUUUACUCUGUUUUAUGUACUUAUAUUUAUUUUUUAUACUUAUGUGUGUAUGGAGAGAGAGAAAGAGAAUAUUAUAUAGAUGUAAAAUGUAUUCUACCUUUCUAGCUGUCCUUGGAGAGAGAGCCAUCCAGAUUACCUAUUCCACCAAUUAUUGAUUCCACCAUUAUAAAGUGGAAAUUCUAUAAUUUUCUUUAAUUAAAAAAAAGAAACUGGAAGAAAAGAAACCAAAAUAACAUGUCUCUCUCCGACUAGUGGAAUUCAGAUAAUUUUUUAUUUUCUGUAUUUUUCGAAUUUUCUGUAAUUAAAACAAAAAAUUCUUGCUUGAUAGCAUUAUGUUUAAGAAGUCUGAGAGUCCCACACAUUGUAAGCAUAUUUAAAAAUAGAAGGCUGGGCUUCCCUGGUGGCGCAGUGGUUAAGAGUCCGUCUGCAAAUGCAGGGGACAUGGGUUCGUGCCCCAGUCCGGGAAGAUCCCACAUGCCGCGGAGCGGCUGGGCCCGUGAGCCAUGGCCGCUGAGCCUGCACGUCUGGAGCCUGUGCUCCGCAACGGGAGAGGCCACAACAGUGAGAGGCCCACUUACCGCAAAAAAAAUAAAAAAAUAAAAAAUAAAUAGAAGGCUUCCCUGGUGGCACAGUGGUUAAGAAUCCACCUGCCAAUGCAGGGAACACGGGUUCGAGCCCUGGUCCGGGAAGAUCCCACAUGCCGCGGAGCAGCUAAGCUCAAGCGCCACAACUACUGAGCCUGUGCUCUAGAGCCCACGAGGCACAACUACUGGGCCCACGUGCCUAGAGCCCGUGCUCCGCAACAAGAGAAGCCACCACAAUGAGAAGCCCGCGAACCGCAACGAAGAGUAGCCCCCGCUCACCCCAACUAGAGAAAGCCCACACGCAGCCACGAAGACCCAACGCAGCUAAAAAUUAAAAAAACAAUUUAAAAAGUAAAGUUGAUAUUAUAAAAAAAGUCAUCAAAAUUUUUUUUAAAAAGUGAUUUAGGAUAAGCCUGUUAGGAAUGUUCUCAUUCAUUUUAAGAUAUGUGAGAGCUUUGUGAAUAUCCUUGGCCUGGAAAUUACAAUUAGUUGACUAUUAGAAAAUCAUUGUAUGGAUAACAACAAGGUCCUACUGUAUAGCACAGGGAACUAUAUUCAAUAUCCUGUGAUAAACCAUAAUGGAAGAGAAUAUGAAACAGAAUAUAUAUGUCUAUGUAUAACUGAAUCACUUUGCUGUGCACCUGAAACUAACACAACAUUGUAAAUCAACUCUACUUCAAUUAAAAAAAUAAAUAAAUAAAAUAGAAAAUCAUUGUCGAUAGGAAAGACUACGUGUAAUUAAAAAAUUAUGCCCCCACUAGAGGUACCAAUGUAUUCUGAAACACCACACUGCAACAUUUACCUAAAACUGGUUAUAUUUUAAGAACAGUUCCCAAACAUCCAAGGCUAGUUAAUUUAUGCAAAACUGUUAGCUGAUUUGAUUAUACUUGAAACAUCGGCCAAAGAAAUUGUUGAUGAUGACAGUGGUCUCGUGAAGAAACAAAAACAAAACCAGCUAGAGAGAGGAUAAUGAAAUCUCUGUGCUUUUGUGAGACAGACGUUGUGGGUACUCAGAUCCCGCUGGAUCCUGUUACAGCUUCUAGUUGUACUCCUCAGCUUCUGGGCGCCUGUGACUCUCACAGGAGGCCGCCCUGGAGCUACAGGGGCCACUUGGCCUACUGGUUUACUCUCCCCCUGGGCAGCCCCAGCCCAUGGCCAGUGCAGGAAAAGUGUGAAAGCCCAGCUUCCUUGCCACGAGCUGAGACAAACUCCGAGGCAGAACUUCCACUCCAGUGUUCCCGGUGGGAUCAGGCAGAAAUCACCCUGGGACUUGGCUUCUUUCCCUGUCGACUUCCCCUGAGAGCACUUCUGUGAUAAACCACUGGCACAGGAAUCCCUGAUUUGGAAUCCGUGUCUAUCUCAAAUUUCAACUUCUUUAGGGAAAAAUAUUAGUAUAAAAAUUUUUUUCUGAUCCUAUCAAGGAUGCAGCAGGAUUUAUUUUUAUAUACAAGUCAGUUAGGACAUACAUUGGAGUUAAAGACACUUUACAUAUUUAGCCACUUAAUGUUAGUUCACUGAGGAACUAUGAGGGACUGGAGGGUUAGUGGGAACUAACAGUAUUCAGGUAAGUACAUUUUACAUCCGUGAUAUAUAAACUGGCAAUCUAGAUCUGUGGUCUGCAGAAAAAGGGCUAUUCCUGGAAGAUCGAAUUAUCGAUUAAGUAAAGUGGUGGCUUGGAGAAAUGCAGGAUGCUGAAGGUCACUGGCUCUGAAGAGGAAUUUCACUCAAGCCGUCAUGACCGAAUAGACCCUUUUGUUCCUCUACAGAAGUAUUUAUGUCUACAAAGUCUGAUCUAGACAUCCAGGCUCUUGGAGUACUCCUCUCCCCAGGUGGAACUGGAAAAAUACUGACAAACCCUGGGUGUACUGUUUGACCUACUUUACAGAUGACAGAAUUCACACUUGAAGGCUUGAAGCCACUUUCCCCGAGACAGUUUGUUCAGGAAAUGGGAGUGCAGGGGUCUAAACUCAAGCAACCUCUCUCCAGCACCCUCGCCCUUGACUGCUGCCCCAAAUGCACAACAUUGUCUCUUGUGUUUAUUGUGAGAGGGACAGGCCCAAGACAGACUAAGGAGCUUGCCUAAGGCAUCAGAGUGGGUCCCCAAACGUAUUUCUUAUCUUGUAAAACUAGACUAUCUGGUCGGCUGUCUGCCUAGUUCUUUCCUUCCUGUUACCCUCUAGAUUCAAUAAAAUCCUCUUUAAAUAAUUUCUCCUGGUCCCAGCCACACUGCAGAGUAUUGAGGGGAGGCCGUGGUGGUGACCACUAAGAGCCCUACCUAGAAAGUCAAAGGAGUCUUGACCAAUCCAGGUACCCAACCCCACUUAAAGCCUGUUCCAAAUCUACCAGACCUUGAGAUGAACUUCUAUUCUACUGAAGAAGGCAGUGGCUUUUCUGACACCUGGUGACAUUCAUGAAGAGUCACGUGACGAGGACCACCAUUGUGAAACAGUGAGAAAUCUGUCGCUCAGAGCAUUUUCAGAACUUCAGACGUGUUUUAGAAAUCACAUAAAAAUAGCCAAUGACACUGUGGCAUAAUUAGACAUAUUAAUUUCUACUGUUACAUUGUUCCAUCAGGAAAGCUUUUCAGUUGGCAGCUAACAGCUUUCGUGGUGGUUUCUGUCUUCGGGGUUGGCCCCUCUUGGUCUUGUCCUCAGCUUUGUUCUUGAUCUGACUCUGGGGGCCUCCAGUUCUCCACUGACUGACUAUAAGAAGAGAGAAGAAAAAGAACAGAAUGGGGCAUAGAGGGGCAAAAUCUAUGAGCAGUCAUUAUACCAAGAAUGAACAAAUUAGAGAACUACUAAAUUGGGAGGAGGGGCUGAGCAUUUAAACAUUUUUCAUUCUAAUCACAAUAUUAUACUAGAUGUGUUGACAGCAAUGGAUUCUAACAGGUCCUCCCCACAGAAUCCAACUGGGAGCCAAUGGGCUGAAUUCUUUAAUGUGGAUGAUCAUUUUUUGAAUUUUCCUGUCUAUCUGAUAAGUGAAAUUUCCUCGCUUAGUUAAUAAUCGACCUCUGGAACCUAAAUAGUAUGUUCACGGUCUCAUAGAAAGAAGUUUAGUGAUUAGAUGACUGAUAAUUACAUUACCCAUCAAUUACUGUUUCCAAAUCAACUAGGACUGCCAGAUAAUGAACCUCUCUCUAAAUGACAAUGAGAAUUGCAAAUAAAUGAGUUCAGAGGUUGAUAGCAUACUAAUUAAAUUAAAUGAUUAAUCAGUUUCAGAGGGAUGGUGAGUUGCCCUUUACCAGGAUUUGAGAGCGAGCUGUGAGGUGUGUUUUCUGACUGCUUCAUUAAAUUUGAGUGCUUUGAUGAUGAGUUUUAAAGGUACAGGCUUUACUACCUGAUACUACCUUUUCAGCAGACUUUUUUUUUUUAAGGAAAUUGAUCAGUGUUUCCUACUAACAGGCUGUAUUGUAAGUUUAUUUUUCCUAUAUAAAAAUUGUUGAAAACUAUAUGUAUAGGGACUUCUCUGGCGGUGCAGUGGUUAAGAAUCCACCUGCCAAUGCAGGGGACACGGGUUCAAGCCCUGGUCCGGGAAGAUCCCACAUGCCACAGAGCAGCUAAGCCUGUGCGCCACAACUACUGAGCCUGCGCUCUAGAGCCCGCGAGCCACAACUACUGACCCCACACGCCACAACUACUGGAGCCCGCAGGCCUAGAGCCCAUGCUCCGCAACAAGAGAAGCCACCGCAGUGAGAAGCCCGUGCACCGCAAUGA